rnacentral:rRNA from 1 species
GUGGGGAAUCUUCCGCAAUGGACGAAAGUCUGACGGAGCGACGCCGCGUGAGUGAAGAAGGCCUUCGGGUCGUAAAGCUCUGUCAUCAGGGACGAACGGCCGGUGGAGUGGAAAGCCACCGGAUUGACGGUACCUGAGAAGGAAGCCACGGCUAACUACGUGCCAGCAGCCGCGGUAAUACGUAGGUGGCAAGCGUUGUCCGGAAUUAUUGGGCGUAAAGCGCGCGCAGGUGGGAUCUUAAGUCCAUUUUUAAAGUUCGGAGCUCAACUCCGUGAUGGGAUGGAAACUGGGAUUCUUGAGUACCGGAGAGGAAAGCGGAAUUCCCCGUGUAGCGGUGAAAUGCGUAGAUAUGGGGAGGAACACCAGUGGCGAAGGCGGCUUUCUGGACGGUGUCUGACACUGAGGCGCGAAAGCCAGGGGAGCGAACGGGAUUAGAAACUCUGGUAGUCC